rfam:Stegodyphus mimosarum contig32747, whole genome shotgun sequence.
GCCUUCGUGGUCUAAUGGUCAGCACACUGAGCCGGUAUUUCCUAGGUCCGUGGUUCGAUCCCCGGCGAAGGCA